UGGGGAAUAUUGCGCAAUGGGGGAAACCCUGACGCAGCAACGCCGCGUGAAGGAUGAAGGUUUUUCGGAUUGUAAACUUCUUUAGUCGGGGGACGAAAAAAAUGACGGUACCCGAAGAAUAAGCCACGGCUAACUACGUGCCAGCAGCCGCGGUAAUACGUAGGUGGCGAGCGUUGUCCGGAAUUACUGGGUGUAAAGGGCGUGUAGGCGGGAAUGCAAGUCAGAUGUGAAAUUCCGAGGCUUUAACCUCGGCGCUGCAUCUGAACUGUGUUUCUUGAGUGCUGGAGAGGAAAGCGGAAUUCCUAGUGUAGCGGUGAAAUGCGUAGAUAUUAGAGGAACACCAGUGGCGAAGGCGGCUUUCUGGACGGUAACUGACGCUGAGGCGCGAAAGCGUGGGGAGCAAACAGGAUUAGAUACCCUGGUAGUCCACGCCCGUAAACGAUGGAUACUAGGUGUAGGGGGUAUCGACCCCUCCUGUGCCGGAGUUAACACAAUAAGUAUCCCACCU
rnacentral:rRNA from 1 species